CACGUAGGCACCAAGCGUUGUCCGGAUUUAUUGGGCGUAAAGAGCUCGUAGGCGGUUUGGUAAGUUGGAUGUGAAAUCUCCAGGCUCAACUUGGAGGGGUCAUUCGAUACUGCCAUGACUAGAGUUCGGUAGGGGAGUGUGGAAUUCCUGGUGGAGCGGUGAAAUGCGCAGAUAUCGGGAAGAACACCCGUGGCGAAGGCGGCUCUCUGGGACGGUACUGACGCUGAGACGCGAAAGCGUGGGGAGCGAACAGG
rnacentral:rRNA from 1 species